UGCAAUAUCUUCACAGGUGUUGUAUCAUGCCUUAUUCAAAUUUUAUCACCACUAAACUUCUCCUUAGGUAGAUCUUCUAUUGGGGGACAGUCUCAAUAGGGAUCAUCCUGGGAUCUUGUGGCAUGAUCCUCAUAUUCAUUUGCUUCCCCCCCCCUUUCCCCCACAAAGCUACUGCCUAGUGUAGGACUAAGGCGGCCAGGAGGAUAAAUGUAGCCCUUUGGAGAACAGGGUUGCCAUUCGUGCGGAAUCGGUCCUCAUGAGGUUUUGGUUGCCACUUAAGGGGUAUUUCAAGAGGGUGUGUUGUGCCUUUGAGGUGUCAUUACUUAUUUGACGUCUUGGUAUGGUCGUUAGUUUGUCAUGGCCAGAGAAAUCACCCAUAGAAGGGAGGUUCCUCAUGUAUUCACUACAUCUCAUAGGAGACUUUCAUUAUUUGCAUUCCUCUUUGUGAGUUUGAUUGUUCAUUUCCAUUAGCUUUUUCUCUUUAUCUUUAUGUUAAUCCCCCAUCUUACAGGGGCGGAUACGUGCGAGGUAAGCCAACAUGACAAGGAUUCAGUAAUAAAACUCGUUCAAAAGCUCAAAAGCAAGGUUGAUGUGAAAACAUUGGGAAACCUUUUGGCUGAAGAUAAAGUUUGGUGAUCAGGUCCGCAGGUGAUCGAAAUCAAAGAGAAUCUUAAAGUGGAGGUAUUAGGGGACCUUCUCCUUCUAAUCUUGGUGGCUUGUAAGGGGAUAUUUUGGAGACAGCCGAGUAGGGACCAUGCAAUGAUGACAUGUCUUGGUUCUGUUUGCAAGGCUGUCACUGUUCUGUAGUCCGUACUAACAUGUGGCAACUUGAACAUAUUGUAUGAGAUAUUUUUUGUUAUUUUAAGAUGAUUUGAGUGGUUGAUGCUGAUUUUUC
rnacentral:lncRNA from 1 species